UUUACUGGAACAGACUUGGCUGCAUCCAGAUGGUUAAGCCGGCACGUCCCGAGAAGGUACUCCGGCAGCUCCUCUUUUGUAUUUGCCUGUAGGUUUCCGCAUGAAAUAUUUACAAUUUUGGACAUUUAUGGAAGUAUUGUUGAGGUAACCAAGCACAAGACUGACUACACCUCUUGCUACUGUUGAUGAUCCGAUGUCGAUCCCAAGCUGAAAACAAAAAAUUACGAAGUUUCAGUAUGCCGGAGUUUCUCAUGCUAUUUACAAUUGUCAAAAUCCACUUUGAACACUGAUUGUUUAAAAAUGAGGCAAUGUUAUAAAUUUACCUCCAAGUAGUUCUUCCCUUGGAAGUAAUUUAUUUCCAGAGCUUGGCCGAUGAGGCAAGCUUUCUUUCCGACACUCUGCUUGACUAUCCACGAUCCCUAACAAAACAAAGUCAUCUAUCAAAACCCUUUUUCUUUGUACAAUGCAAAUUGUGAAAUGAAGCUAUAUGCGGUAUGAGUUUAAA